UUUUUUUAUAAAUCUCCGCGUGGCAAAUAUGGCGUAAAAAUUCUGCUGGUUUAUAUUGAUCAAUCAUACCUUUAUUUGAAGGUAAUAUGCUUUAUUUUAUAUCAGUAUUUGUGGUAGAAUACUUAGAUUGCUAAUGUAGAUGGAAUUUUUAGGACAUCGGGCUCGAAUUAAGUGCGAAAUGUUCGGCAUAAAGUUUGCACGUGCAGUCGUGCAUCGGUUUGGUCGAUUGUCGAAAUAUUAAAAAACCGUGAUCUGAUUUUAAUAGCACUGACCAAUUCAAUAAAAAGACUAAGGAAGCUAUAAAAUUAUUGAAAUAGUCGAGGAAAGUUAGUUGUUCUUGCUAGGAUCUUUAUAAGGAGGCAAAUAUUUUUAUAUUUUAUGAAUUUUAAGCCUGUUUAAGGUGGCUCUCUAGGGUUUUUUAAUUGACUACAGUUUUGUAUUCAGGAGACUCCUGUUACUUUACAUGACAUGAAGACGAAAUUUAUUGGACACAUUAGGGCCAUUUAUACGGGACAAAAUAAGUUGCGACUUACAUAAGUGGAGUUAUCGAACAAAUGGUUCUUUGCAGCAUUAGUCUCAUUUACUUGCUAUAGCUAUAAUGUUGUUUUGGUUGUUUUUGUUUUAAUAUGCAAGGCUAAUAAUUUUACGUUGUUUCAAGUUUCGGGCAUAUGCAGUAAACUUUUUAUCCAAAAUGUCUUAUUUAAGACACGACUUAAAUAAGAACAGCUAAAAAUCCUGUUCUUAUUUAAGUUGCGUCUUACAUAAGAAUUUUCGCGACUUGUUUUGUUUCGUAUAAAUGGCCCUAUUGACAAUGUUCUUUUGAACAUUACAAAUUGCUACAUUUGUGUUAAAAAUCUGUUAUCAUGGCAACAGCAUGCUUAGAAAUAAAGCUCAAAAUUUGUCUUUUUCAGGUUAUUUUAAAAAUUCGCUUCGGUGAAAUUUUUUAAAACUUUGCAUAAAAGAUAAUACUUGUAUAAUAAUUUUUUCCUUUCAAUUUAAAAUUUAAAUUAAAUCAAUAUGUUUCUUGGAAAAUUUUAAAAACGUCAAAAAUCAAUAUUGAAACCCUUCGAUUUAAUUUUAGGAAAAAAGGUUAUUGCACUUGUUGUGCCGAAACGUGUGCAAAGUUUUAAAAAAUUUCACCGAAGGAAAAGGGAUAAAUUUGGGUUAAAUUUUGGCAAUUUUACUAGAUUUUGACACGAACAAUUUAUGAAUACCCCAACUGAUGUGUACAUCCAUUUUGUAUAAAAAAAGUUAUGUUUGAUAUACUGUUUAUAACUGUGUCGGUUACCGGUCAACUAAGCGUGGAUUAUACAUGUAAAAUUGGCAAAGAUAUUUAGGUAAUUACUAGUUAUGACUCUUGGUAUUAAUUUGAAAAAUGUUUGUCAAAAUACGUCCUAGCUGUGCGAGUUUAUGGUAGUAUUGUCGGAUGUUCUCGCAAAAUGCCUGUUCAAAUUUCAGUUUUUAACUUUUUAUAGUGGCAUGUUUGGAGUUUUGGCCCUUCUCAUUUCACCUGUAGAGGGCUCAUUAUUUAAUUCAUCUUUAUUGUCAUAAAUGCUGCUAGAUUGUGGAGAAAACACUGCAAAUUCUUGAGGAGACUUUAUAUUAUAUCCCAAUGUUCGUGAUCGAACCUCGCGUACGGCACCAAGCGGUUCAAAAAACUUCCAGAAUACCGCUUGAAAAAAAGUUUACAUUAUCUUGAAACAUCACAUCCAAGUGUCUUGGCUUUUAGAACUCUUUUUAUGCUUUCAACUUAAGCAUAGUUCACACUUUUGUUUCAAAUAAAACACAACGUUUGUUUGUAUUUUGAAAUCACACGAGUUUCAGUUUACGUAUAUACGAUUCAUCGCACAAGCAAACUAAAUAUUUCUUCCAGAAUGGAGCGAAUUUGUUAAGUUAUUUACAAUCUUUCGGCAAAAAACCAACUCAUUUUCUUAGAAUACAUCAAUGGCUAAACAUUUUACCACUUACUUUGAGCUCAACAAUGGAAUAGAUGACCUUUUUGUGCUAGAAAUACAAAUGGCAAAGGUUCUGAAAGAUAAAACUCAGAGCAGAGUUAUAAAAUAAAUUUAAAAGUGGUGUUUUCAUUAUGAAAACUAUGUUAUCCCAUUUUUCAUUCGUAUUUAUUGGAAAUGAAUUAGAAAUGUAAUUGCUUUUUGCCGAAUGCGGAAACAUCGAAUUAGAUCGAAACAAUUUUGUUGUUUUUUAUCCAAACAUUAAAUAUCUUCAACAUCAGUCUACAAAUUGAGUUUUUCUUUUAUCUUUCAGGCAGUAAUAAAGCCACUUAAAAGUUGUAGUAGAUUAAUUUUGAAUAAAAUAGUUAUUAAACAAAAAUUGACAUUGAAAGAAAAGAUUUGUCAUGAUGUUAAAUUUUAUAAUUAAAGAUGCGGUACAGUCUGCAUGUAAACAAAGGCUUUGUUUACAUUUUGGUAUCCAAAAUAUUGAAUUUUAUUCGACAACUAUUUAUAUUUUCAUGAUUCUAGAGUUUAAUAAAUUAUCAAGAGACAACAAUCAAGCUUUGCAAGAACAUAAAAUGAAAUAAAAACCUAAAUAAACUGUUUGUAAAUGAAAGAGGGCUCCUUUGUGCACAUUUGCAGAUCGGACUGUACCGCAUCUUUAAGUGCUAAUAGUGUACAUUUUUCAUGUGUAGUCCAAAUUUCAUCUUAUACUAUUUAAUUAGUAAAUUUGAUCAUGUAUUUCUCUGAAAAUGACAAAGUUUGGGUUCCAGCCAUUUUUUUUAUUAGUUUCGACCGAAACCCUGAAAAAUGAGGGUUCUGGCUGGAACUAACCGGCCGGAACCGAAUUCCGGUGCAUAGGGCAGAGAGAAUAGGGUUGGCUGGAAAAGAUAUGCUGUUUCAGCUUCUGGUGCUCUGCACAUGUUCGUAUUGAGUUUUUCAUCUCGCUAGCCAAGCUGUUCACAUCCUCAGCAAAAUUCUCAUAAAUUUUUGUAGAUGUACAGUACAAGCUCCAAGAAUGUCACAAGUUCCUGUCUCAAGAUCUCAUGAUUACGACUAUUCCAAGAUCCUGAAUAAGAGGUAAAUGAUUUUUCUUCUAAUUAUUUUUAAAGUUUUCCUUGUAUUUCUUGGACAAUUAUCUUUGUAAUAUAUUAUUAAUUUGUUUCAUGUUCUCAAUAGUGAGUUUUUAAAUUUUUUAGAUGUGUGUUGCAAUUUCCAAGAAUGCCUCGAGUUGUUGGCUGAAGUGUUUUUGAUCACAAAAGUGAACAACGUCAUUGGAAAGUAUAUAAAAAGGUUUUAAUAUUUUUCUUAUCUUACAUGAAAUGCUUUGAACAUUAUGUGGUUGCUUGUGAUCAAUGGUUUCAAAAAUCCCAGCAGAAUAUUGCAAAAAUAGCAUGACCAUCUUACUUAUGACACAAAAUUCGACAAAAAUAACACAAUCUUUAUGAGGUGAGUGCACAAAAAUUGCACUCUUUUUAUUCUAUUAUUACACCACUAUUUUGACUUGUAUUAAUUUGGGAAAUUUCAGUUUUGUGGUCUGAUUACUUGGUUAAGUUUGGUGUUGCAACCAAUCACAGAAAGUCCAUAAUUUUCAAAGCAUAUAAGCAUUUUAUGAGCAAGCCAGAAAAUGAUAAACUGUCUGUGUUUUGAAAAAUUGUGUUUAAUUAACAAUGACGAUUUGGUUUCAAUAUACCUGUACAUUUUUUUUUGUUUGGCAUAAAUACAGAACAUAUAAAUUUGUGUUUGUCUGGGGCUAUUUCUCAGAACAUAGUUGUUUCUACAUAUUUCCAAAUUAUGUUUUUGUCAAAUAUAAAAAAAUGAAACGUUUGUCAUUCUUUGGCUUUGUCACAGCAGUUAAACAUUGAGAAGAUUGAGGUGUUUUCUUAUUAGAAACUAAAACAGUUACUUACAAAUAAGUCAUGUGACUUUUUUUAGUCAUCUUUCAUGUUUCAGUUAAUGUUUUCAGCAAAGGAUUAAAAGAACAUUGAUUAAUUGACAUUUGUUUCAUCAUACUUUGUGUUUUGAACUUAUUGACCUGCAUUGUGAAAACAGCAACUUAUGUCCCAUCUCAAUCUUCUCUUGUUUAAGUGGACUUUCAGUGUUUGUUGAAAGUUUGGAAAGUUUAUCUGAAAAUCACACUGUUUCUUUCAUUCUGGAUUUUAUUUGAGUCUUGAAAUAUUGAAUCUUAGAAAAAGCAAUUAGUGAUUAAUUGAAGUAUACAAUACUUCUAAAAUUAGCACUGUUAGAACUGCCUCGUUGUUUAACCGUCCUGUCUUAUUUAUCCCAGCACACUCUUAAUACAUGAGUUUGAUUAUUCCUGGAUACAAAUAAAAUGGAUUUGUUAAGGAACAAGGCAGUUCUUUACAGUACUGACUUAUAGGAGGGUUGUGUUCUUCAGUUGUUUUAUAUUCUUGUGCCGACCAGUUAUCAACAAAAAAUUCGAAUUUAGGAACAAACUUUGUGAUUUUUAAAAAGAAUUUCCCAACUUUAAAACAAACAGUUAAGGUCAAAAAAGUCUAGGAUAUUGCCUUUACUUCAUUACAAAGAGGAACUUAUUUGAAUGUGGAACUGAAGCAGCAAACUAUACUUAAUUUUGGGUAAUGUGAGAUAGAGAAAAUAAAAGGAAAUUGAUUGUCAUGCAUGGCAAGGAAAAUCACAACCAGACUACAGGACAAUGUUCUAGGUUUAGGUUUUAGGUUUAUUAAUAAAAAUGACAUUGCAACCAAGGGUUGAAUUACAUAAUUUACACCAACUAUCAAUUACUACUAUACUAUACAAAUUCUAAAAUUAGCAUUAAUUCUUUGCAUUUAAAACGAUUUGCACACAGAAGGUACAAAUUAAUAUGUUUUGUAUUAUUGGGAAGAAAAACAAUCCGAAUUCAAAAGUAUAUACCAAUAGGAAUAUUGAACCUGAAGAUAAGAUCAACAGUUCUUUGUGCUAAGGUGUUAAUUAAUCAAGGCACAAUUUGAUCAGAUUUGAACCAAAAUUCAAGCAUGAAAUUAACCACACACAAAUUUUGCUGAAACUAAAAAUAUGUGUCACAUAAGAUCGGGAAUGACUGAGAUGCUUUUUAUGUACCAAAUUUUAUAAUCUGAAUAAAAAGUUCUAGAUUUUAAAAUACUAUUUUUAUUUAAGUAGUCUGACCUGCAGCCCCUUUUUAAGUAUGAAAUUUGUUAUCGAAUCAGAUUCAAUUAAUUAAUUCGGAACUUUGGUUUGGUUACUAAAAUGACAAGAUUAUUUUUAGAAUUUUUAUUGGCUUGUUGUGGUUAAUAAUUGUUUUGCAAUUAAAAUUAAUUUGUUAGCUUUCUGUGUUUACAUGUUUUUUGUUUUGCUUCAGUUCAACAUUAUUUUCAAAUAGUUCCACUUUGUAAUGGUGUGUUAUUAAUAGUCAUAAUAAUAAUAUAAGAAAACAGGUUUACAUGGCACUCGAACAUGGUCUUUUCAACGAGUAUGUAAAGGUAAGUUUAUACUUCAAAAAGGUCUGUUUUUAACCUGACAACAAUGUCGUCCAAAAUGAACUAAAACUCAAUCUUUGUGACCUUUCAAUUAAUUUCAUGUCUUUUGAUGUUUGUGUUUGGUUUGCUUUAAUGUUGAUACUAGAAAUUGAUGAAAAUGCAAUAUGAUAUUUUGUUUGUUGAGAGAGAUUCUAAGAAUUGUAUGGAAACUGAUUGUUCCUUGGGACUGAAGACUUUGAUCAAAACUGUUCGUCUACUUUUGAGUUAGCAAAUUAUACCUUAUGCACAUGUCAACAGCUUGCCCUGGGGGUACACCCCCGGGACUUUGAAAAAACAUGAUUCUAAUGCAUUAAUUCCCCCUCCCUCCCCCAGGAAAUGUGUAAGUCAAACUGCCCUCCCCCUUGGGCUUAGAAUAAAGUAGUUCAUAAUAUAAAUAGCAUACAAACAAUUAAAAAUUAUCAUACAAACUGGGGUAUCACAAUGGCACUCGUGUAUUGUGUAUUUAUUGAUUCAAAUUUUAGCAAGAUCACUACAAAAUAUCAUGAAUAAUAAGUUGGCGAUCGAUAUUUUUCUCUGUGAGCCUGGGAUGGUGCACUUCACUUAUAAAAUUCAAAUUGUCAUGUCAAAGUCCCCUACUUCCCCUCCCCCUGUCAUCCUAUUAUUGCGAAGUUUGUUGGGGAAGAAUACACGGAUAAAAUACCAAAUUCCACCUCGUUUCCCCCGGAGUGUACCCCCCCGGGCAGGCCGUUGAUAUGUGCAUUAUCACGUAAAAUUUUUUCCUGUUUUUUUUAUUAUGCAAAACAAUAAGCUGUUUUCCAACUGAAAAAUUUCUUUUUGGUUUGACCAGUUUAUAGAAGGAUAUAAAUCAGAAAAUCUUUUAUGAACAUUUGAAAGUUUGGUUCAACAAUAUUUUGUGUGCUUCUGUAAAUGGUUGCUACAUGUUUUGCAUCAAAAAUAUUUCAUAAUAAAAUCAAAAAGUUGUUGUUUUAAAAUAUACAAAUAAUUAUAUAACAGGACAACUUUUCCCCACGUGAAAUCUAGGAGAUGUUUGUUUAUAAAAUGGUGGAUCAAUGUGUAUCAUUUUACUGAAUUUAUCAAGGACGAGAAAUGUACCAUUUUCUUAAUUGAGCAAAGCAAAUUUAAUUCAAAUUUUUGUUCGAAAAAUCAAUCAGUAUUGGAGAAAUAAUAACAUUCUUUUAAAAUUUUAUUGAACUGCAUUUUCAUCAGUUGAAUUAGUAUUAACAUUAUAUAUAAUCAAUUCAAAGUUGUCAGGUUAAAAAACGACGCUCAAAAAUAUGUGGCUCCGAAAGACAGAGAUGAUUUCAAAUUUAAGUAUUUCUCGAUUUGGCAAUUGAAAAAAUGUUCUUAUAUAUGUUCAGUUGAGUAUUACAAAGAAUUGAAUUCUCUUAGCAUCUAGACAUCGCGAUAAAAUCAUUAUUUCCAUACUCAAGUGAAACUUUUUGUUCACUUUACCAAAAACACUUAGUCCGUAUCCAAAAAAAGUAAAAGCAAGUUCGAUUUACUUUGUCUUUGAGCCAUAUAUAUUUUUGUGAUUGUGAAACAACUCGAUUUUACGCUUUAGAUUUCUUCGUCAAACUCGUAAAAUUUAUCAUCAGAGUUGUUUUGUAAUUAUUUAUCUUGAAGUAUAAACUUUCAUCUUGAAACGACCAAGUUCACAUGUUUAAUGUUGUGUUUUCACUUGUGUAAACACAAUGUUAAUUGUUCUCUUUGUGUCAUGUUCUGUUUUCUUCUAUUGUUAUUUAAAUAAGUAUACAGUAUGCAGUGGUUGUUCUCUUUUUAUUGUUAUUCAAAUUGUAAAAUUACAAGUUCUUUUCAAUAAAUUGUUCAUUAAUUAUACAAGAGACUCCUUUUUAAUUCAAAAUUCAAUUCCCAUGGGAAUUGAAAAAAAAAAUAAAAAAAAUCCCUCUACCCCGGCCGGCUCCCCAAGUGCUACCUCUACUUCAAGCAGAAGCAAAAGUGCUUCUGCUUAAAGUAGAGGUAGCACUCGGAGAGCCAGCCGGGGUAGCGGGGCGAAGAGAAGACCAACCUUGCAAAUGCUAAUGCAAAUUGCUAAGUUGAUCUUCUCUUGAGAGCAGCCACGCGCAUACCUAGCGAAUGUAAAACAACAAACAUUAGUAACAAAUACUCGACAUGCAAAUUUUGAAUCCCAUGGCCGAAAUGACAAGUGCCCCCCACUGAUUCCUACCAACUGCCUCAAUCCUAAGCUGUCUGCCUCGGUCCUAAGCUGUCUGCCUCGUUCCUAAGCUACCUGCAUUCCAUUCGUAACUUCCGCUUUCCUCACCAUCACACAGACACUCACAAUUGCCCAACCUGCCACCACCCGAACUGCCCACCCUUAAAACUGAAGGAAUUAAAAUUUUGGUAAAGUAUAUUGCAUAAUUAAUUUAAUUAUUCGAAUAUUUUAGGCCAAACGCAAACAAAUAAAUUAAAGGUUGACGAUUAAGAAUGACCGCGUAUACAAACAGGUGAGUUUCUUAGUUGCCUCUAACAUGAAAUUUACAUAGAAAAGUAUACGAAACCUCGAAAUCCGGAUUUUCCUUCUAUAUAUACUUUACUAUUGUUUUGGUUUAAAUAACGAAACUCGACUAAUUUUGCUGAUGUUAGGAAAUUGGUUAUUUUGUUCGAGGAAGAUAUAUUUUCUCUUUAUAUGUUCUCUCAAAAUUUUAAUUCCUUUAGUUUAGCUUAACCCCAUGCAUCUUAUACACACGGCGCACACUCUCACAGUCCAUACAUUUAGCUAAUAAAUUACGUUAUAAACAAAAAAGCAAAAUAAAAAGAUAAAUUACGUUAUCACUAGCUAUCCUAUAACCCACUUAGACUGAGUUUUGGAUUCUGGUUCGAAACGUUCAAUCUUAACUGAAAGGGUAUAGGCUUGAGUUUUGUUAACUGGUCCGAAGUAAAUACAAACCUUAAACUUACCUAAACCAAAGGCUCGAUUAAAUAAGCAUGAGAAUGUAUAGAAUUACUUUUUAAAACUUCAUCAGAGUUGAAAAUCCAAAGGAAAAUCACAAUGACGCUAAUUUAGUGAGCAUGCAGUACUGUUUAUCUAUAUAGUUCAAACAGAUCGAAACAGACUUAACCGCAAUUCUCAUACUCAUUUAACCGGAACGCCUUGAUGAUCAUUUGCAUGGCACGUCGCAGCUGCUUUCAAACCCGCAAGUGACAAGAUACUUAUCAUACUUAAUCAAAGAGGAUUCAUUAUAAAGUCAAAUUUACACUAUGAAAUCACCAUGAAAACAAAGCAUAGUAUAUUCCCCUGGGAAUUACAAAUACGGAAAAAAAUAAAAUUGCAUAAUACUUCACGCUUGCGCAAAAUAAAAAAAUUAACAUAAAAACCAAAGUAUAGUGUAUUCCUAUGGGAAUUAAACAAAGAAAAAUAAACCCACCAAUUCUUAAUAACUUUUUAACGCUCGAAAUAGGAUUGUUUGUUUUCAUCGUAUGUUGAUUUCAUUGUGAAUACAAGACUUAUCCCAUAGUUAACAGAAUAUAAACAUGGAAGGGACCGCACCUGACAUUAAUUUUAUUAUCAACACCAAAUGACGAUGAAAAAGAGGAAAUGCUUGGUGCUAGACUGCACGCCAUGUUUAUUUUACAUUAACUAUGGGUGACGCGGAUUAAUAUUUUGUUUUCAGAAAAGUCUACAAUCGAAAAUAUUCCAGGCAAGAUUUCGUGCUUUUAAGGUAUUGUUGCUUCGAUCUUUUUU